rnacentral:lncRNA from 1 species
UGAUUCGAUUCGAUCCGAUCCUAUCCGACCCCUUCUCUGGUCUCGAUUUCUGUUUUGUGUUGUUCCCCGUGUUCGUCCUCUCGGCGUGUUCGGUUGUUGCAGGAGCGGAUUUGAUCCGGGAUUUUGGAGGUUCCCGUGGCGUCGUGUGGCGAAGGGGGAAGUCGAGGUUUCGAGGAAGAGGAGGGAGGGAGGCUGUUGAGAUGAACCGAAUUGGUGGAGAUAGCACACAACUAAGAUGGAAUUUGCAAUCCAAACCUGCCUCGGUCUGCGAGCUCAAGACAGGCUUUAUACCUAUGCCACUCAAUUCCUUAAUUUUCUCCCAAGUUGACAAGGUUAUUGAUUGGAGGCUGUUGGCUUGUUCGAUGAUGCAGAAGGGUGGCUAUCGGGAGAUUAAAUCCAAGACAAUUGGAAGUACUAGCUUUGUUGGAGUUGCUAUUUUGGAGCUAAUCAGGGCACUGGGAUGGGGAGGGUUCGAGGGUUACACUGUUGUUUCCGGAGCCAGGCCUAAGUGUUGGCAGCGGCAGUGCAGAGUAAGACAGAAUUCAGAUGCAGUGUUGGCGCGGCUAGCAGGCAACGGUGAUCCUGUGCGGCAAGGGACGAGCAAAAUAUCUGCAUCGUGGGUGUUGCCGUGCACCCUCUGA